AAGGUGUCAGUUUUUGUGCCAGCUAAAAGGGUAAAAACCUAUUACUAUAUCUUGUUCCUAGCAAAGGAGGUCUCAUACUGUGCAGAUGUGUGAAUCAUCCGCUGGGUAUCUAUCUGCCAAAUUGGUCAUUGGUGUUGGGGUAACAUGACACCAAAUAUUAAUGACAGGUUUAUAUUUGUGUUUGUUCAGUAAAUUGUGAUUGUGCUGAUACCACUGAAGUUGCUCCACAUGAGCAUAUCAUUUUAAUUCGAGUGGGGAGAUUGGGAUUCCAAGCCAGGAUCUCGGUGGUGUUGUCACAAUACUUCAAAUGGGCAUAUCGUCAUCCCCCAUCUCCCACGAGUUUUUCAAACUGUAAUCUCCCUUGAGCAGCUCACAUAUAGGCAUGAAUGGAGCAACAGUGGAAACGAAAGUGACGACAAACAUUCUCGCUGACUUUUAGGAUUUAAACUGCAUAUCUAUGACGACCACACUGGGAUGGGGGCCACUUUUUUCUGUAACUGUCGGUGACUGAUAACGUUAGGGGUGAUGGCCCCUUUAUCAAAGAAAACCACUGAAUAAAUUGUAUAUCUUGAAAAGUUAUAUGCCAGUGUUUAAUGACCACCAUGGUGAGAGGUGUUUUUUUUUCAUUAGGAAUGUGGCUACUUGUUUAUUUUUGCAUAAAGGGGACUUGAGUGGUUAAUGUUCAAAGUUUAUAUUGCAUUAUUAUGUAUCUUGGGUAGCACAUAAACACUCCAUACAGGGCCUCCUCUACUUGCGAAUAUUCGACUUACGAACUUUCAGAGAUACGAACAAACCUGUCCGUAUGUCCAGUUGCCGGUUCGGACUGAAAGUCGUACAUUCAACCACAGCGCAAUAGAUGGCGGUGGUUAUUUUGUGUCAUUACCCAGGAUUCCCAGCUUUUCUGCCUGGGCCACCACCAUGGUAUGUUGGUGAGUUAGAAGAACCAGUGGCAUCUACAUUUACAGAACAUGAAUCAGUAGCAUCUACAAUGUGCAGAACAUAUAGCACCAGUCGCAUCUACAUUUUUCUGAACAGUAAUCAGUGGCAUCUACAUGUGCAUAACAUAAAUAACCAGUGGCAUCUACAGUAGAUUAUACAACUUUUAAAGCCAUUCCGUGUGUCUAGUGUACAUGCCGUACAACAUGAACGGAAUCGACAGGAAUAAUCGACAGUUGGACUUACGAACAAAUCGACUUACAAACAGACCUCUGGAACCUAACUCGUUCGUAAGUAGAGGAGUGCCUGUGCUAAAAACAAACUGUUGACCAAACUAAAAAGGUGAGUGUAUCCCUGUCGACUGAAAAAUAGGCCAGCAUACAUCACCUGUGGCAAACCUAAACCAGUGGUGGAAAUUGUACAUUACCAUGGAGGGGGCCAUUCUUUCAAGGCAGCAUUUCAACGCCGCUACAUUAGCUCUCUUUCCAGAGUGUUUCCACUCAUUUAAUUUGAUCCUUGAAGAAUGAUAGAUUGAUUCAACUACCAACUGGGAUUUAAACCCACAACUUCCCAACUGUCAGUUCAGCGCCUUAAUCACACAGCACGUACAUGGGUCAAUAACUCAAUAUAUUUGGUGCAAGAGAGACAUUUUUUUCUGAACCUGGCAAAAGUGAACACGUUUCAGCUGACAAGGUCAUUUGUACUUAAUUAAAAUGAAAGUAUAUUUUCCUUUGGAAUUUAUUUUGAUAAUAAAACGUAACAAAAUGUGUUUCAAAUAUUUUGCAGCACUGCCCACCUGAAAAAAAAAGGAAAAACAUCCAAAACCCAUUUCCUUGCAUUUUCACUUUGCAUUAAUUUCAAAGAACUCCAUUGUAUAACUUCCAGAUUUUUUUUUUAUCUUAAAGGAGUAAAUGUGCAAUGAGUGUGCUGCUUAUUGCUGGAUCCCCAGAGUGUUUAUUCACGUGCUUGCACGGUGCACUUUGGCACAGUGACCACUCGGGCAACAGCGUAGCACACAAAAUGGCACUCAGUUUGGCGGAAUGAUUUUGAGUAAUGGGGGAUUAGAUUACCCACAGAAAUUGCAGGUGGUUUCUCAUCGCCGUACCUGCAGCCCAUGGCGUCUUAUUCCUGCCGAGAGUGUUAGCGGAAUAUUUAUGCUACUGCAUUUACAAGCAGUCGCGGGGCCACAGGCUUAGCAUCUCAUCGACACAGCAGGACACCUGAUGAGUAUGUGGUGCCACGGCCGCGGAGCAACUCCACAAGCACCGCGACUCCCCCCCCUGGCCCCACCCUGAGCACACACACACACGCAGGGCACACACGUAGUGUCCCGGCGGGGGAUCGCCUGGCACCACGGGUUUUCAUUGGAAGGGCCCCUGUGGGGGAAGUCCCGCGAUUUCCUGGUGCCAGGAGAUUGGCCGACCCCCACAGGACAAGUCCCAUUGCGGUACCCCAAAAGUGACUUAAAAUUGUAUGGUUCACCAGGCCAGCCACAGUGAGUCAUGCACGACAUCGGGGAGGGGUGCUGGGGUGAAAUAUUAAGCAAGCAGAGCAGACAAUGAGGUCAGGGGAUCCCAGCACCACAGACAGAAUGCACACGGGCAGGGUGUGUAUUCGCCAGCCGGACGUCCUUCCAGAUUAAACAGGCUGAGUCAGGGAUUAAUGAGUACGGGGGCACAGACAAUAGAUUGAAACGUAACCGGCUGGACGCUCCAUGUAAGGCAAGAGAAACGUUUGUAAUUCACAGGUAGGUGCAUGAUUGACUGCGCAGGAUAACGUAACCCUAUACUUUUUUAAAUCAAGGGGCAUUAAAAAGGGAGCCAAAAACGGUUCAGAGAGAUCUCAUCUUCAACAGUCUGGUCGCCAAGACCACCCCCCCCCCUGCCGGCCUGCCUCUUCGAGCCGCUCGCAGCAUCCGUGUGAUGCCAGCGAGUGCUGCUACGAGGCAGUGAUAGGCAAGGUUUUUUCGUCAUCCUCCCUCCGAUUCUCACAGCAUCCGUGCGACGCCGGGAGUACAGCUGCGAGUCUGUUCAGAAAGGUACGCGAGGCUCGUGCAAGUGCUUCGUGUACUGGGCUCCUCUCUGAUUCGUGCACCACAGAGCACAUGACGUGCCGUGACUUCAGCCAAAUAGCUGCAUUCUUGCAACGCUCAAGAUUCCCGAAGAAUGACCUCGUACGAGAAGAUUGCACAGAAAGACAUUGACAUGAAUCCUGUGUUAGGAGCGGAGUCAACGGAGUACCACCACCUCCUCCAUGACGCCUGCCUCCUGACGACCGAGCAGACCCUGCUCGGAUAUGAGCAGCUGUGCAGCUGCUGCUGCUGUCUGUGCCUGUGCGGGCCUCAGUUAUCUGGGGUCGACCAGUUCCUACAGUCGGGUUCUGGGAGGCGGCGGCUGUCAAAGACAUCUGCCUCGAGAUGGAGGCGGCCAUGAAGCCACCUCAUCGACGGAGAUGCAGGGGAAGGACAACAAACUCCGACCAAUGCGGCGCCGCCAGCCCCCAAUAUUGUUUUAUUUGCUUUCCAUGGACUCUAUCCUAACAAUUGUGAACUGAUCUUAUUUUUACACAUAAAGGUAAAGGCGCAGCCCUGUUCAUUUGUUUGUUCACGCUGUUGCUGGAGGAACGGCCUCCACUAGCGGAAGCUCUAGAGACCCCCCUAUAGGAAUAUAAGUGUCCUCUUUCAAGCCUGCCAGACAUUUUGGAACAGGUUGGAGUAGCCACCACUUGAUCCCACCACACGUGACGACCUGCUGAUCAACUAACUGUAGCAUUCAUAUUUAUGCUGCCAGGUGGACAGCAUGGUGGGUAAGGGGGUUAAUAAACGCGCUCAUUGUUUCAACUGUAACAGCACUAGAACGGAAUGGUGACCCCCGGAUGACCAGUCCAGUGUGCUCACAAUUGCAUCAUUGCAACGUCCCGUUAUUUAUUAAAGAAAAUACCCUCCCCUCGGACACCAGCCCAUACACACAUUCUGCAUCUUAGAAUUCACCACUGGUCAUGCGCAGUUGAACUUUCCUUCUGUUAAUCUGUGAUUGCGUGAGGAACCUGAUUCAGAACUGAGCCUUUGCUUAAAUAUGUGUUCCACUUCCAUUGUGUUCUCAAUAAGGAGCCAUUUGUUUGUAAUAAGCUCCGUAGCGUAAACACUGCUAUUGAUGGUCUGGGGUCGAUAUCCAACACUCACAUAGACAGCCACGAUUUUGUGUUUAAUAUUAUUUCUUCAUGAUAUUGAAGAAUAACACUGCUGGAGAUAAGCGUAUUAAUAAAUGUUUACGAUGGGAGACUGA